GAUGAACGCUGGCGGCGUGCCUAAUACAUGCAAGUCGAGCGAACAGACGAGGAGCUUGCUCCUCUGACGUUAGCGGCGGACGGGUGAGUAACACGUGGAUAACCUACCUAUAAGACUGGGAUAACUUCGGGAAACCGGAGCUAAUACCGGAUAAUAUAUUGAACCGCAUGGGUCAAUAGUGAAAGACGGUUUUGCUGUCACUUAUAGAUGGAUCCGCGCCGCAUUAGCUAGUUGGUAAGGUAACGGCUUACCAAGGCAACGAUGCGUAGCCGACCUGAGAGGGUGAUCGGCCACACUGGAACUGAGACACGGUCCAGACUCCUACGGGAGGCAGCAGUAGGGAAUCUUCCGCAAUGGGCGAAAGCCUGACGGAGCAACGCCGCGUGAGUGAUGAAGGUCUUCGGAUCGUAAAACUCUGUUAUUAGGGAAGAACAAAUGUGUAAGUACCUAUGCACGUCUUGACGGUACCCAAUCAGAAAGCCACGGCUAACUACGUG
rnacentral:rRNA from 1 species